CUCGCAAUGUCAUGUUUUCAGACAGAUUAACUCCUGUGACAGAACAUUUGACAACCCAUCUAUAAUAUAAGUAAUAUUAGCACACUUGCUUUUGGUUUAUUGUGUUGCUACCCAUUAGUGUCCCACAUUGCUCUAAUUCAACCAAUGUUUAAUUUAUCUGUCAGUUAGACUAAAGUUAAUUAUUUAUUUGUUCUUUUGACAUGAACAAAUAGGCCUAAUGUUCACUAGUCCGGCGCAGUAUGCUGUAGCGAUUUUUUUUUUUCAUGUAUUUAUAUAUUUACGCUUGCUGUAGCGAUUACGUAAAGCACGCAUACUGGAUUCAAACCUCAUCGCGUUCAGUCGAUAAUGCGGCGCUGAAGGAAGCGGAACUCACGUGACUGACAAAAAGAAACCGAAAGCGAUCGAAUCAGAUGACUAGACGCCAUUUCGGAUGAUUGAAAAUCAAGUGUCUUUGCAUGUUACGGACUGAAAUCAAGUCUCUCAUCGAGGAAGAAGAGAAUCAGAAAAAAACAGCCUGAGAAAUGAGUGUGUAUGAGGAGAGAGAGCAGGAGGCUCCUGAUCACACUCAGAGAGCAGCAUCUCCAGGAUUCAGCUGUGUAUCUAUGAAGAGUAACAACUCCACGCAUCUGCCCCCUGACUCAGUAUUUUACACUCAGAGAACAGCAUCUCCAGGAUUCAGCUGUGUAUCUAUGAAGAGUAACAACUCCACGCAUCUGCCCCCUGAACUCAGUAAUUUUUACACUCAGAGAACAGCAUCUCCAGGAUUCAGCUGUGUGUCUAUGAAGAGUAACAACUCCAUGAUUCUGCCCCCUGAACUCAGUGGUUUUCACACCAAUAGAACAGCAUCUCCAGGAUUCAGCUGUGUAUCUAUGAAGAGUAACAACUCCAUGAUUCUGCCCCCUGAACUCAGUGGUUUUCACACCAAUAGAACAGCAUCUCCAGGAUUCAGCUGUGUAUCUAUGAAGAGUAACAACUCCAUGAUUCUGCCCCCUGAACUCAGUGGUUUUCACACCAAUAGAACAGCAUCUCCAGGAUUCAGCUGUGUGUCUAUGAAGAGUAACAACUCCAUGCAUCUGCCCCCUGGUCUCAGUUACGUCACACCAACUAGAACAGCAUCUCCAGGAUUCAGCUGUGUAUCUAUGAACGAGUAA
rnacentral:lncRNA from 1 species